rnacentral:rRNA from 1 species
UCCUACGGGACGCAGCAGUGGGGAAUAUUGCACAAUGGGGGAAACCCUGAUGCAGCAACGCCGCGUGAGUGAAGAAGUAUUUCGGUAUGUAAAGCUCUAUCAGCAGGGAAGAAGAAAGACGGUACCUGACUAAGAAGCCCCGGCUAACUACGUGCCAGCAGCCGCGGUAAUACGUAGGGGGCAAGCGUUAUCCGGAUUUACUGGGUGUAAAGGGAGCGUAGACGGCAUAGCAAGUCUGAAGUGAAAGCCCAAGGCUCAACCAUGGGACUGCUUUGGAAACUGUUAAGCUAGAGUGCUGGAGAGGU